UACGGAGGAUGCAAGCGUUAUCCGGAAUGAUUGGGCGUAAAGCGUCCGCAGGUGGCGAUGUAAGUCUGCUGUUAAAGAGUGAGGCUCAACCUCAUAAGAGCAGUGGAAACUACAUGGCUAGAGUGCGUUCGGGGCAGAGGGAAUUCCUGGUGUAGCGGUGAAAUGCGUAGAGAUCAGGAAGAACACCGGUGGCGAAAGCGCUCUGCUAGGCCGCAACUGACACUGAGGGACGAAAGCUAGGGGAGCGAAUGGG
rnacentral:rRNA from 1 species